rnacentral:rRNA from 1 species
UACGUAGGGUGCGAGCGUUGUCCGGAAUUAUUGGGCGUAAAGAGCUUGUAGGCGGUCUGUCGCGUCUGCCGUGAAAUUUCGGGGCUCAACCCCGAACUUGCGGUGGGUACGGGCAGACUAGAGUGUGGUAGGGGAGACUGGAAUUCCUGGUGUAGCGGUGAAAUGCGCAGAUAUCAGGAGGAACACCGAUGGCGAAGGCAGGUCUCUGGGCCACUACUGACGCUGAGGAGCGAAAGCGUGGGGAGCAAACAGG